rnacentral:hammerhead_ribozyme from 1 species
AUCCGGUUGACGAGUCCCAAAUAGGACGAAAUACACGUCCUGGAU